GAUGAACGCUGGCGGCGUGCCUAAUACAUGCCAGUCGAGCGAACGGACGAGAAGCUUGCUUCUCUGAUGUUAGCGGCGGACGGGUGAGUAACACGUGGAUAACCUACCUAUAAGACUGGGAUAACUUCGGGAAACCGGAGCUAAUACCGGAUAAUAUUUUGAACCGCAUGGUUCAAAAGUGAAAGACGGUCUUGCUGUCACUUAUAGAUGGAUCCGCGCUGCAUUAGCUAGUUGGUAAGGUAACGGCUUACCAAGGCAACGAUGCAUAGCCGACCUGAGAGGGUGAUCGGCCACACUGGAACUGAGACACGGUCCAGACUCCUACAGGAGGCAGCAGUAGGGAAUCUUCCGCAAUGGGCGAAAGCCUGACGGAGCAACGCCGCGUGAGUGAUGAAGGUCUUCGGAUCGUAAAACUCUGUUAUUAGGGAAGAACAUAUGUGUAAGUAACUGUGCACAUCUUGACGGUACCUAAUCAGAAAGCCACGGCUAACUACGUG
rnacentral:rRNA from 1 species